rnacentral:rRNA from 1 species
GCCUGCCCAGUGACCCUGUUUAACGGCCGCGGUAUCCUAACCGUGCGAAGGUAGCGUAAUCACUUGUUCUCUAAAUGUGGACUAGUAUGAACGGCAUCACGAGGGUUAUACUGUCUCCUUUUUCUAAUCAGUGAAACUAACUUCCCCGUGAAGAGGCGGGGAUAAAACUAUAAGACGAGAAGACCCUAUGGAGCUUUAAACAACAUAGCACUUGCCGCAUAAUAAAAAUCUCCGGAUCUCUUACUCCAAGGCAAUAUGACUAUUAGUUUUUGGUUGGGGUGACCGCGGAGCAAAAUUUAACCUCCACAUUGAAAACUUUAAGCUGAGAAUCACCUUUCUAGGCAUCAAUAUAUUGACACUAAUUGAUCCAAUACAUUUGAACAACGAACCAAGUUACCCUAGGGAUAACAGCGCA